AACGAACGCUGGCGGCAUGCCUAACACAUGCAAGUCGAACGAGACCUUCGGGUCUAGUGGCGCACGGGUGCGUAACGCGUGGGAAUCUGCCCUUCGGUUCGGAAUAACUCAGGGAAACUUGAGCUAAUACCGGAUAAUGACGUAAGUCCAAAGAUUUAUCGCCGAAGGAUGAGCCCGCGUAGGAUUAGCUUGUUGGUGGGGUAAUGGCCCACAAGGCGACGAUCCUUAGCUGGUCUGAGAGGAUGAUCAGCCACACUGGGACUGAGACACGGCCCAGACUCCUACGGGAGGCAGCAGUGGGGAAUAUUGGACAAUGGGCGAAAGCCUGAUCCAGCAAUGCCGCGGUGAGUGAUGAAGGCCUUAGGGUUGUAAGGCUCUUUUACCCGGGAUGAUAAUGACAGUACCGGGAGAAUAAGCUCCGGCUAACUCCGUG
rnacentral:rRNA from 1 species